rnacentral:rRNA from 1 species
UACGGAGGGUGCAAGCGUUGUCCGGAUUUAUUGGGUUUAAAGGGUGCGUAGGCGGCCCGUUAAGUCAGUGGUGAAAUCCCAGGGCUCAACCCUGGAACUGCCAUUGAUACUGACGGGCUUGAGUUCGGUUAAGGCGGGCGGAACUGGUGGUGUAGCGGUGAAAUGCAUAGAUACCACCAAGAACCCCGAUUGCGUAGGCAGCUCGCUGAGCCCGAAACUGACGCUGAGGCACGAAAGCGUGGGGAGCGAACAGG